GUGUGUAUAGAGAGAGCAAGUAGCAACCACCCAGUUGAUGCGAAUGCAGUGCAGAAUCAAAUACAACUGGGUCACUACUUUUAUUACGCGCAACAAAGCGUGGAGGAGGGGAUCGGUUUUACAUUAGGAAGGGAAACCGGAGACUCUCUCUGGUCUGUCGAAACUAAUUCAGCAACACAGAAAAUUAAUCAUACAGACGAAGAGCCUGGCUUGGUAUACUGUCAUCCAUCAAGCCGAUUGGUUUUCGUUCUUAUACAGACCGAUGAGGAACCACCAAUUCACCGGAGCAAGUCAAGGGUAACUGGUGGAUCCCUGGAAGGGCCAGCCUCUUCUUCUGCACCGUCUUCCGCCAUCAAGGCUGCCACCUGUUUUUAGAUUCACCAGCAGUAGAUGCAGUUUUACAUCUAUCUGCACCAACUCUUUGGGCAGUGCGGGUGCGGCUACACCGGUUUUUCAACAUUUCGGGCUUUCUGGUGUUGAGAAUCAAAUUUUGAGAUAUCGAGAGAUUGAGUUUUGAUAAUUGAGGCUUUUGUCGAGCCUAUGCAAAGGAAAACAACAAGGAGAGCCAUUGAUCCUUUCACAGCCAUUGUCCUCCAUUGGAAGUUCGAAUUAAUUGGACUAAGGCGGAUGAAAGGCACCAAGUAGUGUAUUCAAAGUAAUCACUACCAUCCAAAGAUAGGAUAUUCCGGUGAACAUACCAUGAGUGUAACUUAUCCAAGAAAAGCCAGUCUUAUUUGUCGGAAGGAUGCUAUAUCAAAGGAGAUAUAUCCAUAUUUCAAGCAAGGUGGUUUAUUCCAUGGUUAUUUUUGGGUGUAAAUGGAAAGAGGGAUGGUUUUUAUGGCACUUUAAAAUCAAUGUGUGAAACGAAUGGGUGAAACAACAAUCGUUGGCUUAGAUGGAAGGCACAACUAUAUCUCUCUCAAAGCUUUCAAAUUGAAUCCACAUAGGAUUUAUUAUGUUACGAGAAGUAGGAUAGUGCAUGAAGAGGAGAAAUAACAAUGCGGAGCUCACAUUAUAUGUGGAAAGUAGUUUUAUUGAAAUCUGUAGAGGAUCUUGUACACAAUAAAAAAUAAAGUUCUCAUAAAUUUGGGGAACACUA